CUUACUGAGAGUUUGAUCCUGGCUCAGGAUGAAUGCUGGCGGCGUGUCUAAGGCAUGCAAGUCGCGCGGAUCGUCCUUGGUAGCAAUACUGAGGACGGUGAGCGGCAAACGGGUGCGUAACACAUUGGGAAUCUACCUCACAGUCGGGUAUAAGCCCUCGAAAGGGGGUCUAAUUCCACGAUGGUCAUGCGGGGACAUAUGUCAUUCGCAUGUAAAGCGCAAAACGCGCUGUGAGAGGAUCCUAUGGCCUAUCAGCUUGUUGGCGGGGUAACGGCCCACCAAGGCUAUGACGGGUAGGGGAUGUGAGAGCAUGAUCCCCCUCACUGGGACUGAGACACUGCCCAGACACCUACGGGUGGCUGCAGUCGAGAAUAUUCGGCAAUGGGCGAAAGCCUGACCGAGCGACGCCGCGUGCAGGAAGAAGGGCUUCGGCUCGUAAACUGCUUUUUUCAGGGAAGAAUUCUGACGGUACCUGAAGAAUAAGAGGUUGCUAACUCUGUGCCAGCAGCAGCGGUAAUACAGAGACCUCAAGCAUUAUCCGGAUUUAUUGGGCGUAAAGGGUCCGCAGGUGGUCGUGCACGUCGAGGGUUAAAUGUUCGAGCUCAACUCGGACACUGCUUUCGAUACGGCGCGACUAGAGGCCGGGAGAGGUGAGCGGAAUUGCCGGUGUAGUAGUAAUAUGCGUUAAUAUCGGCAAGAACACCAAAUGCGAAGG
rnacentral:rRNA from 1 species